rnacentral:rRNA from 1 species
GACGAACGCUGGCGGCGUGCUUAACACAUGCAAGUCGAACGGAAAGGCCCUGCUUUUGUGGGGUGCUCGAGUGGCGAACGGGUGAGUAACACGUGAGUAACCUGCCCUUGACUUUGGGAUAACUUCAGGAAACUGGGGCAAUACCGGAUAGGAGCUCCUGCUGCAUGGUGGGGGUUGGAAAGUUUCGGCGGUUGGGGAUGGACUCGCGGCUUAUCAGCUUGUUGGUGGGGUAGUGGCUUACCAAGGCUUUGACGGGUAGCCGGCCUGAGAGGGUGACCGGCCACAUUGGGACUGAGAUACGGCCCAGACUCCUACGGGAGGCAGCAGUGGGGAAUAUUGCACAAUGGGCGGAAGCCUGAUGCAGCAACGCCGCGUGCGGGAUGACGGCCUUCGGGUUGUAAACCGCUUUCGCCUGUGACGAAGCGUGAGUGACGGUAAUGGGUAAAGAAGCACCGGCUAACUACGUG